rnacentral:lncRNA from 1 species
GACCAGCUUCUUAAGACUUUGGCACAGUCUGGUCAGAAAGGGGGAGUAGCAACAACUCCAGAUGCAACUCCGCAUGCCCCAGCAAAAACUUCAAUGAUGAAGCAGCAGUCCACAACCGCAAGGCAAAGCGUCCAGCAAUUCUCAUGAUAAUGAUCAGCUCUCCGACUAUGAUUAUAGGGAAGUUUUCUUGAAAAACUUUUUUGUUGUCCUUUUUGAACUGCUUAAAUUUAUAUCUUAUUUAGGACUGUUAUAGUUAUGAUUACUUUCCUGUUUUUUGGAUAUCAUCUUGGUUAUCUUUAUUUUGUGCCUUGGGCUUGUUUUGGAUAACUUUGUGCUGCAGGAAAUUUCUCUGUUACAACAACUUCUAUUGUACUAACAGUAUGUGAUGCAGGGGGAGUUAAUCAUUUCUGCAAAAAGAGAAAAUCUCAUAUGCAGGGGGAGUUCUUGUUAAAUAUGGAUUCUGACCAAUCUAUGCCAAAGGGGGAGAUUGUUGGCGCCAUAUUUCCGG